rnacentral:rRNA from 1 species
GACGAACCGUGCGAACGUUGUUCGGAAUCACUGGGCUUAAAGGGCGCGUAGGCGGCUUCGCAAGUCAGGGGUGAAAUCUUUCGGCUCAACCGGAAAAGUGCCUCUGAUACUGCGGAGCUCGGGGGAGGUAGGGGCAGACGGAACUUCCGGUGGAGCGGUGAAAUGCGUUGAUAUCGGAAGGAACGCCGGUGGCGAAAGCGGUCUGCUGGCCCUCUACUGACGCUGAGGCGCGAAAGCCAGGGGAGCAAACGGG